rnacentral:rRNA from 1 species
AGUUUGAUCCUGGCUCAGAUUGAACGCUGGCGGCAUGCCUAACACAUGCAAGUCGAACGAUGCUUUCGGGCAUAGUGGCGCAUGGGUGCGUAACGCGUGGGAAUCUGCCCUUUGGUCUGGGAUAACUGUUGGAAACGACAGCUAAUACCGGAUGAUGACGUAAGUCCAAAGAUUUAUCGCCAGAGGAUGAGCCCGCGUCGGAUUAGCUAGUUGGUAGGGUAAAGGCCUACCAAGGCGACGAUCAGUAGCUGGUCUGAGAGGACGACCAGCCACACUGGGACUGAGACACGGCCCAGACUCCUACGGGAGGCAGCAGUGGGGAAUUUUGGACAAUGGGCGCAAGCCUGAUCCAGCAAUGCCGCGUGAGUGAAGAAGGCCUUCGGGUUGUAAAGCUCUUUUGUCAGGGAAGAAACGGUUCCGGCUAAUAUCUGGAGCUAAUGACGGUACCUGAAGAAUAAGCACCGGCUAACUACGUGCCAGCAGCCGCGGUAA